GCUCGUCAACAGUUUUGAAACUGCCACUGAGCAGUUAUGAGAGGAAUUUUAUUUUGAUUCAAAUCGGGCAGCUCUUAGCUUUCAGUAAAAGGGGUGGGGCCGACUCGAGCACACCGACUUUGAUCACGUGAUCAGAGGCGGCCAAUACGAUUCGUAGGCAAGAGUGACUCACAAACGGUUUUCGCCAAUCCGACAGCUCGCCGCGCCGCUGAACUCAAAUCUGUUUGAAAGAACGUGCGCUGUGUUUGAAUGUGAAGAUAAUUCUACAAAUUCAGUAAAUUUAUACUGGUCUUACCUGACUGACUCACUGAAGAAGCCGUAGAUAACGUAAGUAGAUGUUGUUUGGGUGACUGUUACUAAUUGUUUGUGAGUAACGUUAUUGUCAUGAUUUGGAUCUUUUUGAAGCGUGUUAUUAUACUGUAAACUCCUCGCCGAAUCUUUUAUAACUGGUAUAAAACCAGAAAAUAUUGUUUAACAUGUUCUGAGGUAUUCAGGUUUGUCUGGGCACAACCCCCGUUUCCAUUUUCCAACUAUUUUUAUUUUUAUUUUUAAGUUAGUGUCGUCAGAUACUAUAUAUAUAAUAUAUAUCUGUCAUGUCAAAUAUUCAUAAUAAAAAUCGAUAAAAAUAGCAUGUCCCCCACUUAUUUUACAUAUAUUGUAUUGAAUGUAGGAUCUGUAGACAGAUUUUUGUGAGACGUCUUUUCUUGUUUUGUUUGUUUGAAUGUUAUAACACUGUUUUGUUCUGCAGGGGAAGAUUGUCAUCUUUGAAAAGCUUUGUUUGCACUGGUAGUUGCUCAGAAUGAAGUCGGUGGUGAGAAAGAGCAACAAAGAAAACACUAAACCAGUAUGUGGUCCAAAAAAACAAGUCAUCAGCAGUAUCCGACUCAUCCGCAAACAGCACGUUCUGCCGGAGGAAGUGAAAACACAGAGAAACAACACGUGACACACGGCGGAGCACGGACACGAUGAACCACGAGAGCUCUCACAGUUGAAGAGCAGGUGUGUGUGGAGCUGCUGCAGGAGCUGCGAGUUCUUCUCAUACGUCAUCUGCUCAGUCAACAGCUGAACCGCCACCAGCACGCUCACGUCCACCAGGAACGCUGGCAGCUGCACACACACACACACACACGAAACCCACAGCGAAUCAAGACAUACACAGUGAAGGACUGAGGAACCAAAGGAAAGAGAACUAUGGGUACCUUCUGCAGCAGAGCUCCUAACGUGGCCACGAGC
rnacentral:lncRNA from 1 species